UGGGGAAUAUUGCACAAUGGGCGAAAGCCUGAUGCAGCAACGCCGCGUGAGUGAUGAAGGUUUUCGGAUCGUAAAACUCUGUUCUAAGGGAAGAUAAUGACGGUACCUUAGGAGAAAGCCCCGGCUAACUACGUGCCAGCAGCCGCGGUAAUACGUAGGGGGCAAGCGUUAUCCGGAAUUACUGGGCGUAAAGGGUGCGUAGGUGGCCUGACAAGUCAGGGGUCAAAGGCAACGGCUCAACCGUUGUAAGCCCUUGAAACUGUCGGGCUUGAGUUCAGGAGAGGAAAGCGGAAUUCCAAGUGUAGCGGUGAAAUGCGUAGAUAUUUGGAGGAACACCAGUGGCGAAGGCGGCUUUCUGGACUGAUACUGACACUGAGGCACGAAAGCGUGGGGAGCAAAC
rnacentral:rRNA from 1 species